GUGAUCUUAGUUUAAAGUUAAAAUUUCUGCUUUGCGCGCAGAGGAUCCAGAGAUUCUGGAGACCACA
rnacentral:tRNA from 1 species